AUGAGAUCCCUGUCAGAUGAACUUGCUAUGGCAGGGAAACCCCUCCUAGAGGAAGAACUAAUCUCCUUCAUAGUUGCUGGCCUUGACAUGGAUUAUCAACCACUUAUCUCAGCCCUAGAUGUCCGCACCGAACAACUAUCUGUUGAUGAUCUCUUCGGCAUGGUGGCGAACUUUGAUCAGCGCAUGGAGCUGUUCCAGGGCACAGGCGCCGGGGCUUUCAAGUCCUCGGCCAACAGUGCCUCCCGGGGACGCGGCGACGCUCCCAAGGGCGGUUACCGCAACUCACCCAAGGGUGGAAACGGCAGCGACAACAGCAACUACAACAACGGUGGCGGCGGCUACCGCGGCAACAACAGCGGAGGUGGUGGUGGCGGCUACAACCAGGGUGGCGGUGGUGGCUACCGCGGCUCUGGUGGUGGCUACAACGGCGGCUACAACGGCGGCGGUGGCGGGGGCUACUACAACAACAAUGGCCCCCCCCCCGCCAUAACUACAACAACAAUCAAGGUUGUCAAGGCGGACGCUUCACCGGGUAUGAAGAAUAUGAAAACAAGUGUCAGAUAUGCAAAAAAAAUAACCACAUUGCAAAAGAGUGUAAGUGGCACUAUGCAGAGGACAACUCUCAGAGGAGACGAGUUGCAGCUGCAGCAGAUACCUCAUAUGGAGCAGAUUCCAACUGGUAUCUUGACUCCGGUGCAAAUGAGAACAUCACCUCCGAGCUAG
rnacentral:rRNA from 1 species